rnacentral:lncRNA from 1 species
UGUAGGAUCGAAGAAGGUGAGAGUGUCUAGAGGGGGGUGAUUAGACUACUCGACAAGAUAAAAAUUAUGCCUUUUGACAAAGACAAGUUUUGGCAGAUUUUGCAUAUCACACAAGUCAAGUAGCAUACUAUACAUGCAAUUCUAGAGUAUGGGCAGCGGAAAGUAAAUUGCACAAGUAAUAAAGAGAAGUGGAGAAGAUCAAACGCAAUUUGGAGACACGGAGAUUUUUCUCGUGGUUCCGAUAGGUGGUGCUAUCGUCAAUCCACGUUGAUGGAGACUUCAACCCACGGAGGGUAACGGCUGCUAGAGUCCACGGAGGGCUCCACCCACGAAGGGUCCACGAAGAAGCAACCUUGUCUAUGCCAUCAUGGCCUACGCCCACGGAGGGCUAGCCUUACUCGGGGUAGAUCUUCACGAAGUAGGCGAUCUCCUUGCCCUUACAAACUUCUUGGUUCAACUCCACAUCUCGAAGGAGGCUCCCAAGCGACACCUAACCAAUCUAGGAGGCACCACCCUCCAAAAGGUAAUAGAUGGUGUUGAUGAUGAUGAACUCCUUGCUCUUGUGCUUCAAAUGAUAAUCUGCCCAACACUCAACUCUCCUCACUGGUGUGGUGGAAGAAAGGAUUGAGUGGAAAGCAACUUGGGAAGACUAGAGAUCAAGCUUCAUAUGGUGGGAGUGGAGCUACUUGAUCUCAACACAAGGGUAGGUAGUUUUCUUCUCAGAAAUGUAAGGUAGGAGUGGUAGUACUUUCUGAUGGCUCUCUCCACGAAUGAAGAGGGGGUGGAGGGGUAUUUAUAGCCUCCACACAAAAUCCAACUGUUACACACAUUUGACCAAUCUCGGUCAGACCGAAGUUGACAACUCGGUGAGACCGAAAGUUCAAAUCAUGUGAACGUUGGGAUUUUCGGUGGGACCGAAAAUACAAACUCGGUGAGUCCGAUUCGUCCAAAGACAAGAGCUUGCCAAUCUCGGUGGGACCGACUUCAUCAUCUCGGUGACACCGAUUUGAUGACAGAAGGUUACAGAAGCUUGGCAACUCAAGUUUCGGUGAGACCGAGUUAAGAAUCGGAAAAUCCGAGAUUUCUAGGGUUUGGCUUUGUGGCUGAGGUGGUUCAUCUCGGUGUGACUGGGUUUGGAAAAUCGGUGGGACCGAGAUUACUUAUGAGUGUAUUAUGGAAGUGAGAGUUGCUGAUAGUUUAGGAGAUGUAUCACUAAGCACUUUGAGCAACCAGAUCAUUAUCAUAACCUCAUCCCCUUUUAAUAGUAUUGGCUUUCCUAUAGACUCAAUGUGAUCUUGGAUCACUAAACCAAAAUGGAGUCUUGAGCUUUUGCCAAUGCUUGCCUUAGCAUUUUGAGGGGUCCACCUCUUCAGUCCUUUUGCCAUGCCAAUGUGCUUGACUUUCCUGAAACAUACUUGAUAAAAGCAUUAGUCCAACCACAAAGUAUGUUGUCAUUAAUUACCAAAACCACCCAGGGAGCAAAUGUGCUUUCAAUCUCCCCCUUUUUGGUAAUUGAUGGCAACACACAAAACAAGACAUCAAAGCUUACUGAAAGAAAGACAGAAUUAUCACUAAAGCUUUGACAAACAUGUAGUACACAGGCUCCCCCUACAAGUGUGCAAGAUUUUUAUAGAUUUUGGUUUUGGACUACCACAAGCACACAAGAGAGAAAAACAAGAUGUGCUACAUGCAGCUUGGCUAUAUGCAUCAGAGCAGAUGAAAAGAAGUGAGUGAUCAUACAUAUGUGCAUGGUGAUUUCUUGCAAACAAGUAUUGACAAGCAAGUCACCAUCAUGCACAUUCUACAAGGUGCAUAUACUUACCUUGAGGUUCCUUGGCAUUGUACCUGAAGAAAUAAACUUGGGAAAACAAGAUUAGAUAACACAAGAGUAUUUCUUCAACCAACAGCAAGAACAUCAAGAGUACCAAGCCAGGGAUGACAUGUAUAAUGAGUGUCUCAUAAAGAGCACAAGCUUGAAUCAGCAAACAUGUCUCCUGAAACUAACAGAUUUUCAAUGAACUCUGAGAGAUUUUGCUUUCCAUAAGAUAUCAAUUGUGAAGAUUCCUCUCCCUUUGAGGAAAAAGCAAAAUCAAAAGAAUGAUGCCAAAUGUAAUAACCAAUGUGGAACACGGCAAAGCUUUGAUGUGAUUCUCUCCCCCUUGAGAUAAGAUUGCUCUUCUUCUCCCCCUAAAUCUUCUCUUCUCCCCUUAAGUCCCCCUAAAUCUUCUCCCCCUUUGACAUCAAGUGCCGAAAAGGACAGCAAACUAGGAAGGUCAGGAAAGAUUAAAGGAAAGAAAUGGGAUCCUUAAGAAUCACAACAGGGUAAUAAGAACACAGUUAAGCUGCAGAAGGUGAUAUCCUGAAAGAAAUAAAUCGGUGACACCGGAUUGAUAUGGAUCGGUGUGUCCGAAAGUCAGGGACUUAGGGCAGAUCCUUUUCGGUUAGACCGAAAUAACUAAAUCGGUGACGCCGAGUUUAAUUCCAAGGAAAUACAGAAUUAAUUCAGCUCACUUUGCAAGGAAUGUUUCAAAGGAUUUGCAAUGAAUUUGUAAAUGAUUUUCAAGGAAUUGAUCAGAGCCAAAAAGAAUAUUCACAAAGACAGAAGAACAGAAAAGAAAAAGAUUCCUAGAUGAAGUUUUUUUUAAGAAGAAAACUCAAUGAGAGAACAAAAUAGAAAAUAGAAAAACUCCAAAACAUAUGUACUUCAUCUAGAUAAGGGUCGGCGACAAAGUCACCUAUGUUUGAGUAUAUUGACUUAGGAGUCAAAUGAGAACAUUUGAUCAUAGGUCAUACUCAUCAUUUAAGCUCAAAAUGGGGUUGCCAUUUUUCGAUUAAGCAUUUGAUGUGAUCACAUCUUAUGAAGCUGCUUGUACUCAUGUCUUUGAGCAAAGCUUCUUAAUGAUGUGAAGAACAUACCUUGGGCUUGUUGUUGCUUUGUUCAUGUAGGUGAACUUAAUAUAGGUGCUCAUUGAGUGUGAAGUUGGAGCAUCAUUUCAACUUGUGUAGUUCAUCUUCCUACAUGGGUUAGGCAAGCAAGGAAAUACUCAAGGAUAUCCAAGAUGACAAGAGUGAAAUACUAGAUGUAUAAGGUGUCAAAAAGGAUAUGUGGAAUUUUGUUCCUUGAACUCAACAUCCCAAAGGGCUAGAUACUUGGUCAAUGACAAGAUUACUCAUGAUUUGAGUGUGUGGUAAUCUUGUGGAAUGUAGAUCAUCCAAGUACCUGCAAGGAGUUAGAUGCAAUACAAGGGGGCAAAUGUGUCCAAGACAUAUGAUCAUCGUCAUAAGAGAAAUAUCAAGGAUUAGUCAAGUAGGCUCAUGCCUUGCAUGCAUCAAUGGAGUUUUCACUCCAAGUUUGAAGCAUCAAUGAUGUUCAACUCACUCCUUAAGCGACAAAACACUUUCUCAUCAAGUGGUUUUGUAAAGAUAUCUGCAAGUAGUUUGUCAGUACGAACAUGCUUAAGAUUGAUGUCACCCUUGGCAAUGUGAUCACGAAUAAAAUGGUGACGAACUUCAAUAUGUUUCGUGCGAGAGUGUUGCACUGGAUUGUGUCCAAUCUUAAUCGCACUCUCAUUGCCACAAAGCAAAGGAACAUGUCUCACAUGUAUCCCAUAAUCCUUAAGCGUUUGUGUCAUCCAUAGCAACUGAGCACAACAUGAACCAGCAGCUAUAUAUUCUGCUUCGGCAGUGGAUAAUGAUACCGAAUUUUGUUUCUUGGAGGACCAAGAUACAAGGGAUCGACCAAGGAAUUGACAUGUACCCGAAGUUGACUUUCUAUCAACCCUGUCACCGGCAUAGUCCGAGUCGGAAUAGCCAACAAGAUCGAAAGAUGCCCUCUUAGGAUACCAAAUGCCAAAGUUAGGUGUGUGUAUCAAAUAUCUCACAAUUCUUUUAACAGCUUUAAGAUGACAUUCUUUAGGGGCUGCUUGAUAUCGAGCACACAUGCAUACACUCAACAUUAUGUCAGGACGAGAAGCACAGAGAUAUAGUAGAGAACCAAUCAUAGAUCGGUAAACCUUUUGAUCAACAGGUUCUCCAUCUUUUGUCAAGUCAUUAUGUCCACUAGUAGGCAUGGGGGUUCUCAUACCUUUGCUUUCUUGCAUGUUGAACUUCUUGAAGAGAUCCUUGGUGUACUUUGUUUGUGAGACAAAGGUACCCUCCUUAGAUUGCUUGAUUUGCAACCCAAGGAAGAAUUUGAGUUCACUCAUCAUGGACAUCUCAUACUUCUCCGACAUGAGCUUUCCAAACUUCUCGCUAAAAUGAGGGUUAGUUGAACCAAAGAUAAUAUCAUCAACAUAUAUUUGGCACACAAAUAGUUCACCAUCAACCCUUUUCGUGAAUAGCGUUGAGUCUAUUUUUCCAAUCUCAAAUCCUUUUUCAAGAAGAAAGCUAGUUAAGCAUUUGUACCAAGCUCUAGGAGCUUGUUUAAGGCCAUAAAGAGCUUUAUGAAGUUUGUAAACAUGAUUAGGCUUUUUAGGAUUCACAAAUCCAGGAGGUUGUUUCACAAAUACUUCCUCCUCAAUUUCACCAUUUAGGAAAGCACUUUUAAUAUCCAUUUGAUAGAGAGUAAUGUCAUGGUGGUUGGCAUAAGCAAGAAGAAUGCGAAUGGACUCAAGUCUAGCAACGGGGGCAUAGGUCUCACCAUAGUCCAUACCUUCGACUUGUGUGUAACCUUGAGCUACGAGACGAGCCUUGUUGCGGAUGACUUGUCCAUCUUCAUCUUGCUUGUUCCGAAACACCCAUUUGGUUCCAAUGACGUUUUGAUCAUCCUUGGGCUUCUCUACCAAAGUCCAUACAUUGUUCCUCUCGAAGUUGUGUAGCUCUUCGUGCAUCGAGUUCACCCAAUCCGGGUCUUCAAGUGCUUCUUCUACCUUCAUAGGUUCAAGACUAGAGAUAAAUGAGUAAUGCUCACAAAAGUUAGCUAAGCGAGUUUUAGAGCAAGUAAUUCUCCCGGAGUCGAUGUCGUUCAUCAUUUGUUCCACGGGAUGAUUUUUCUUGACUCUUGCUCGGACUCGGGAUAGCUUUUGUUGUGGUUGAGGCUGAGCUUCCUCAUCAUCCUCAUCUUCCUCUUCUUCUUCUUCAUUGUUGUUGGUGUUGUCUUGAGGUGGUGGAGAAGGAGGUUGUGGUGGAUCUUCUUGUUGCACUUCCUCAUCUUGGUGAGUUCCACUUGUGGAGGCCUCCAUGUUGCCUUGAGGUUCAUCUUGCCGUGAGGUAGGGGGCUCCACAUAUGUAGAUGAGGUACUCUCCUUCACUUCCAUGGGAUGGAUCUUUCCAAUAGAUAAAUCUUGAAUGGCUUCCGAUGGGUCCUUGUCUCCUACAUCAAUAGGCAUUUGCUCUACUUGCGAGCCAUUAGAUUCAUCAAACUUCACGUCUACCGUCUCUUCAACCUUUCGGGUGAAAUUGUUGUAGACACGGUAGGUGUGAGAGUUUGAUCCAUAACCGAGGAAAAAGCCUUCAUGAGUUUUAGGAGCAAAUUUGGACCGACGAUGCUUAUCAAGGAUAUAGCAUUUUGAACCAAAGACACGAAAGUAUCCCACUUGGGGUUUGUUACCGGUGAGGAGUUCGUAUGAAGUCUUGCCGAGGAGCUUAUGAAGAUAAAGCCUGUUGAUAGCAUGACAAGCUGUCUCAACCGCUUCACCCCAAAAAUGCUUCGGUGUCUUGUAUUCAUCAAGCAUCGUUCUCGCCAUCUCUAUGAGCGUUCGGUUCUUCCUCUCAACAACUCCAUUUUGUUGAGGAGUGUACGUAGCCGAGAACUCAUGUAGAAUCCCUUCCUCAUCGAGAAAACAAUCUACAUGGGCGUUCUUGAACUCCGUUCCAUUGUCACUCCGAACUUUCUUGAUCUUCACCUCAAAUUGAUUUUGGGCCUUUCUAGCAAAGGUUUUGAAGAUCCUCUGAACCUGUGAUUUGUCAUCAAGGAAAAAUACCCACGUAAAUCUGGAAUAAUCAUCAACUAUAACUAGACCAAAAGAGUUACCACCAAGGCUUUUGUAAGCAUUGGGACCGAAGAGAUCCAUAUGAAGAAGCUCAAGCGGUCUCCUUGUGGUCAUGAUGUUCUUCACGGGAUGACUUCCACCUACUUGUUUUCCUGCCUGACAAGCACUACAAAGUCUAUCUUUGUCAAAGAGAACAUCUUUAACACCAAGAAUAUGAUCACCUUUGAUUAGCUUGUCUAGAUUACGCAUACCAACAUGUCCAAGCCUUCUAUGCCAUAACCAACCUUUAGCGGAUUUAGCAAUGAAGCAAGUUCUAGGUUGGGCUUUCUUAGUGAAAUCAACAAUAUAUAGAUCACCUCUACGGAUACCGGUAAAAACCAUGUUAUGAUUGUCACGACGAAAGACUUGGCAAUCUACUUCGGUGAAUAGCACAUUGAAUCCAAAGUCAGCUAAUCUAGACACGGAAAGUAAAUUGUAUCCAAGUGAUUCAACAAGCAUGACAUUUUGAAUAGAGCUAUCAUGAGAUAUGGCCACCUUACCAAGGCCAAGUACCUUACCCUUGGAGUUGUCUCCAAAAGUCACAUACUUGCGUGGACCAUCGUUCUUUGCAAGCUCUCGAAACAUGUCUUCGUCUCCGGUCAUGUGAUCGGUGCAUCCACUAUCAAGAAUCCACUCUUUUCCACCGGAUAUGUAGUCUCUCAGAUUCGCCAUGAGAUUGAGACUCUUCAUGAUCUUGUCUAGCUCGGUGUCCGAAUCGGAGUAAUCAUCAUCAUGCUCAUGCUCAUCAUCAUAUUGACCCAUAGAUAGUUCAUCAUCAACACCUAGGUCAAUUUGACAAUGACUUGCAUUAGUUUUGUCAAUGUGACAAUAAUCAUCGGAAUGCAAUACAAGAGCAUUUCUAAUUAGAGCAUUGAUAAGAUAAGGAUCACCCUUCUUUUUCAUGAGAUCACGAAGCUCAAAGAAGCAUUUAUCAAAGUUGGGAUCAUUGGGGUGCAUCAUAUCAAAUUCAAUAGUCUUGUAUAGAAUUUCAUCAAGACCUCUCAAAGAGCAGUCCAGAUAAAGUUCUUCCAAGAACUUCCACAUAGCAUAGGCGCACUCAAAGUUUGUGACAAGCUUAAGCAAAUUAUCGGGCAAACCUCUAAUGAUAAGAUUUACAGUUCUAAGGUUACGAAGCAAAUCAAGCUCUUCAUCCAUGGUAGGGUGCAAGGGGUCAAAUGGAGGCACAUAUGGGGUUUCAACAUAUUUGCGCAAGUUAUACAUCUUAAAGAUAAUAAGCAUUUCAAUCCUCCACGAGUUAUAGGACACUCCAUUAAGAAUAGGCACUCUAUGGCUAACACUCCCAAACGUAGACACGUCCAUCUUCCUCCAAUGGUGUGUAAACCAAAGCAAUGGAAACCAAUGCUCUGAUACCAAUUGUAGGAUCGAAGAAGGUGAGAGUGUCUAGAGAGGGGUGAUUAGACUACUCGACAAGAUAAAAAUUAUGCCUUUUGACAAAGACAAGUUUUGGCAGAUUUUGCAUAUCACACAAGUCAAGUAGCAUACUACACAUGCAAUUCUAGAGUAUGGGCAGCAGAAAGUAAAUUGCACAAGUAAUAAAGAGAAGUGGAGAAGAUCAAACGCAAUUUGGAGACACGGAGAUUUUUCUCGUGGUUCCGAUAGGUGGUGCUAUCGUCAAUCCACGUUGAUGGAGACUUCAACCCACGGAGGGUAACGGCUGCGAGAGUCCACGGAGGGCUCCACCCACGAAGGGUCCAUGAAGAAGCAACCUUGUCUAUGCCAUCAUGGCCUACGCCCACGGAGGGCUAGCCUUACUCGGGGUAGAUCUUCACGAAGUAGGCGAUCUCCUUGCCCUUACAAACUUCUUGGUUCAACUCCACAUCUCGACGGAGGCUCCCAAGCGACACCUAACCAAUCUAGGAGGCACCACCCUCCAAAAGGUAAUAGAUGGUGUUGAUGAUGAUGAACUCCUUGCUCUUGUGCUUCAAAUGAUAAUCUCCCCAACACUCAACUCUCCUCACUGAUUUGGCUGUGGUGGAAGAAAGGAUUGAGUGGAAAGCAACUUGGGAAGACUAUAGAUCAAGCUUCAUAUGGUGGGAGUGGAGCUACUUGAUCUCAACACAAGGGUAGGUAGUUUUCUUCUCAGAAAUGUAAGGUAGGAGUGGUAGUACUUUCUGAUGGCUCUCUCCACGAAUGAAGAGGGGGUGGAGGGGUAUUUAUAGCCUCCACACAAAAUCCAACCGUUACACACAUUUGACCAAUCUCGGUCAGACCGAAGUUGACAACUCGGUGAGACCGAAAGUUCAAAUCAUGUGAACGUUGGGAUUUUCGGUGGGACCGAAAAUACAAACUCGGUGAGUCCGAUUCGUCCAAAGACAAGAGCUUGCCAAUCUCGGUGGGACCGACUUCAUCAUCUCGGUGACACCGAUUUGAUGAC